AUGCUGUUUUGUUUGCACUGGCCAGUAUCAGAGAAUUUGUCCACCCGCCCAUCUUGGAAGAGAGGCCAGCCCAGACAGAGCUCUCCAUUUAUGACGAGUCUGUGGACGAGGGCAGUGCAGAGUACAAGAACCUGGAGGAGGAGAUGUUUGGGAGCAUGUUCCACUCAGAGACGCAGACAGCUCUGUGAGCACAGCGAGCUGGGCAAACCCUCCAGAGGAAACUCCUCCUUCCCACCCCUCAGAGGAGAGCUGUGCUUCUGCCUGGGGAUACAACGGGUUUGCAACGAGGCCAUCACCCUCCAGAACUGCCAAAUCCUCCCUGCUCUGCUCGUGGCACUCGCAGCAAAGCACCCCAGAGCAGGCAGAGCCAGCUGGGGAAGCAGGAGCUCAGGAGAUGCCAUCCCAUGGAUUGCACAAGUGGAGCCAGCUGCCUGAACUCCUCUGUCCCUCGCCAUCCUUCCACCCACGCUGGAAUUGCAUCCCCUGGGCAUCCUGCUCCUUGCCUCUCCCUCUUCCCCCCACGGAGAGAAACGCAAGCAAACGCUGAGAGCCUUCCAGGGCUUGCUUCACGAGGUGUGGCAGGGCAGCUCUGCCAGCUGCUGCUGCUCUCUGAUGUGCACUGACCCCCGAACUUCCCUGCGUGUCUCUGCAGCCUCUGCCUCUCCUCUCCUGUGUCCCAGCAUCCGAAAAAACACUGCCUCGGACCAGUGCUGCGUUUCUGACACCCCAAAGACCUCAGGACUCUCUCAGCAGGGCUAAAUUCUGAAAUACAAUUUUUUUUUUCUUAAUAAUAGGACAGGCUUCUACACAAAAAUAAUUCCAUGUCAUGUGCACAUUGUCCUGCCUGCCCAGUGGGUUGAGUACACGAAAACAGAUUCUAUUUUAAAAUACUAUUUCUCUAUUUUAACACUCCAAAAUAUUAUAAAUAUAAGCAAGCUUUAGCCUAUGGUUUUGAAGUACACAGACAUUAUUGAGCUGAUUGCUGAAGGCUUCCUGGGAAGAGAAUGUGGGGCUUUCCUGCAGCUCCCAGAUGUCUCAUUUUUAAGGAAAAUAAAGCUUCCUGAGCCAUCCUUGCUAGACA
rnacentral:lncRNA from 1 species